rnacentral:tRNA from 1 species
GGAAUGAUGCUCGAGUGGUUGAAGAGGCACGCCUGGAAAGCGUGUAUACGCCAAAAGCGUAUCGGGGGUUCGAAUCCCCCUCACUCCG